rnacentral:lncRNA from 1 species
UCACUCACAGAUCCAACACCCUAAUUCCAUAUAGAACCUAGGCUCGCGAUACCAUGUUGAGAUUUUAGUAAUUUACCAUUGAUCUGAUCACUUGGAUUUCGAAGGGAGCAAGAAGAAUGAAAGAGAAGAAGCUAGAGAAAUAGUCAGAGAGAAUAUUUCACAGCUGCAACAUUCUAACCAUUGCAGAAUGAUGCUCCACUUUCAUAUAUUCAUUCAUCCCUUACAUCAGUUAUCAUCACCAUUCAAAUACAUAAGCCAUUGUGAUUAUGACACAUGGCAAUUACAAGGCAUGUGAGCCAUUGAAAAUGAAAAUUGAUCUAAGUCCUACACUUGGCAUAUGAGCUCAAGCUAUCUCAACAGAAAACAGUUUCACAAA